rnacentral:lncRNA from 1 species
ACCUCCAGCUUUCCAGAAGACAUGGCCUGGUCGCUCUUCUUCUUCUUAUACUUGUCCUUGUACAUUUUAUUUCGGUGUUUUUUGCACAUCCAGGGUUUCCUGGCUUUGGCCACCUGUGUCGUGGUCUCCGUGCAGCCGUCAUAGGUGCAGGUUUUGGGUAGGUUCUCGCUCUCCCCAGAGGUGUCGUCGUCGUUGAGUUCCUCCGGGCUGACCGUUCCGUCCCUCGGCUCCUCCGGGCCGCUCUCCUCGCCCGGAUCUUCGGCGUCGUACGGAAAAUUCUCGAGGUCGGACGGGGUGGUGCUGCUGUCUGCGGGCCCGGGGGUUUGGCUGUGCUCUUUACCGGUGUUUACUAAACUCAGAUGAAGGUUAUUACUCAUUUUCAAAAGCCGAAUCCCUCACCUGUCUUAUCCGUAGGAACUAGCCCUUUUUGAGAAUUCGCCUCUGAAUAAUUUAUUACAAAAUUAAUUUUGUGUGUUGGUCAUCAUAAAAUCGCAUUUUAAAUGUCCGAAGCCUGGUGAACAUAAUCUCUAAACGGAGGAAUAAAAGGCUGCUGUCAUGAGGACAAAAACAAAACAGUUAUGGCCGCUGCAGAGAGACUGUCGGCUGGACGCUGCGCCAUCUAGAGGCUCCACGCGGCGGUUACAGGGUAAUGUCUAGAGGGGAUACAGCUGCGAAGACUACUACAACAGUAGAGGGACAGCGAGGACACGGUGGAUCUCUGUGAGGAAAUGCUGCAGAUCUCCAUGUUGGUGAAGGAGCUGCCGGCGUCGCUGCUGCAUUCUGGGUAGGAGGAGCUGGAGGAGAUGAUGUUCUUCAGCCGGUGGAGAGCGAUGAUGAGGAGGGUGAGCAGGAACAGAAGCAGGCUGAGGAAGAUGGAGAUGUAGACGUAAACAUUAGCAGUCCGUCCGUAGGAGGCAGCGGCCACUCCGGUGGACACGGACACUGUAGGGCUGAAGCGCAGGAAACUCUGGCUGUUCACUUCUGUCGCGUUGUUGAGCUCCUCCACCGAGCCGUCCAUCCCAGACAUCGCUGACCGCUUUGAGAAUCUGCCGGGAAAGGUGGAAACAAUUAUUCCCUCUGUCUCUGGCAUAUUUUUUCUAUAUGUGAAGGCAAAAUUAUAAGCCCUCCAGUGAAAUUUUAAUUCUUUUUUUUAUAUAUAUAGGC